AACGAUAACUUCUCAGGAUAAAACGGGUUACGAUGUCGUUGCAUAAAAAUGGCAUCAGAAGGGAGUAGGGUUGUGUUAUUGAAAGAGAGUGUAGGUUGUGGUUUGGACCGGACCAGAUUAGCCGGGUGCCGACCCGUGUACACCUUGCCACCUCUGCUCCAGGGAGUUGGACGAGGGAUAAACGUGUCCAAACAAUACGUCGUCGUAACCCUCUGUACCUUCUUUCACAGCGAAACCCUAAUUCAACCAAAAUUUUAUCCAUCUACAAUAAACAAUAAUAACUACAUAUAUAAAAUGCGUAAGUAAAGUAAGUUUCUAUUUACCAUGGAUCUUCUGAUCAGAUUCUAUUUACCAGGGAUCUUCUGAUUUACUCACUUCUUGGUCCACUGACUGUUGUAAAGUAUGUUAAUGUCUAAUGAGAGGUAGAGGCCGCCUCGAGGUUAAAUUCUCCUCCUCAUACAAAAUAUAUGAACUGCAUUAAAAUAGCAGGUAUGCAGUUUUCCACUUUCCUUGGUACAUGGUGUUCUUUUCAUUAGCCCUAUAAUGCACAAGUUAUGGAUAUGGAGAGUAUGUAUUUGACGAUCACAUAGAUAUUUUUGGUUAUACAGAUUAAGAAUUAUCUAAUGGAUCUUAAGUUUUAAUAGUUACAGGGUACUGGCAGUGCAAACUUCUACUUGGCUACUGCAAUGGCUGAUGCUUGCUUCAGGUUUGUCAAUUGUUGUUGGGUUGCUAAACUUAAUUAACCCCUAGAAAAUGCUUAAAAAGGAAAUGUGCUAUUAUAAGUGCUUUUAUGUUGCAUUGCACAAGUUCAUUUUCAGUCUGUAGGAAUCCAAAAAAUUUCUAAAGUAUUAUAGACCUCCCUUCAGAGGAAAACCAUGAUAUCGUCCAUUAGCUUCUGAUGCUUUACUGAUAUUUCCUAUGAAGAUGGUUCAGGUGGUUGAAAGCGUAAACACAGUUCCUAAUUGUGACAAAAAGAUAUAUAUAUAAGAAGGCAGAUAAUGCUUAACAGGAGCCGUUGCAGAUUAUCUUAGCAGCAAGUUUGUGAAUUUAGCCUUUCCUUGCAAUGCACAGAUACUCACUGGCAUCACAACCUGGCAAAGUCCCUCUUGUUCUUCUUAAUGGUUGUCCUACACAUCAAGUCUUGGUCUAGUUGAUAUAUCUUCCUGGCAGGGAUCUGUUCACUAUUUCCAAUUAGUGUACCUUAUAUUUUGACUCUAACCCUUCUGGCUGUUUCUCUUGCAGCUUGAUAGAAGUUUUGUUUUCAGGUAGUGGGCUAGUGCAUCAGCAGUUUAAAAUUUGAUGGGCCGAGUGAUGAAUUCAUGUCAUUAUUAACCCAUCAAAUAUAGAAAACCUGCAAGAUAAAAAGAGUACUAUUAUUCGAAGACUCAUUUUUUUUGUUUAUAAUGAAUCUUUAAGGCGUGUGAUUUUAAUUUAAUUGGUCAAACCACCAAUUAUAUAAUUUGCUUUCUGCCUGGAAUAUUUACGUUCAAAA